rnacentral:rRNA from 1 species
GUCAAGGUGAUUACGGAUGAGCAGAUAGAGGUGCUCCGGAAGCAGAUCUCCAUCUACGCCAUAAUCUGCGAGCAGCUCAUCGAGAUGCACCGUGCCCUCACCACGCACCAGGACUCCAUUGCUGGUAUGAGUCUUGAUAAUCUGUACUGUGAUCCUCUAAUGGUUCAUGGAGGCCACAAGAUCACCGCGAGGCAGCGAUGGACACCAACCCAGAUGCAGCUGCAGAUCCUCGAGAACAUUUUCGACCAAGGAAAUGGAACACCAAGCAAGCAGAAGAUAAAGGACAUCACAGCGGAGCUCUCGCAGCACGGCCAGAUCUCGGAGACCAAUGUCUACAACUGGUUCCAGAACAGACGUGCACGCUCGAAGUGGAAGCAGGCAGCUUCUUCUCUACCAAAUAACGCCGAAUCCGAAGCCGAGGGGGAUGAGGAGUCCCUGACCGACAAGAAGCCUAGAUCAGACGGGUCACAGCAGCAGAACAUGGCUGUGAGAGCUCACAACCCUGAGAGGAUCUCAGAGAUGCACCGUCACUUCGAUGCAGCAGAGCGUGGGCAGGUCCGUGGUCCGAAGAUGUAUGGGUCCAGCAACGACAGCUCGAGAUAG